rnacentral:rRNA from 1 species
UACAGAGGGUGCAAGCGUUAAUCGGAAUUACUGGGCGUAAAGCGCGCGUAGGUGGUUCGUUAAGUUGGAUGUGAAAGCCCCGGGCUCAACCUGGGAACUGCAUUCAAAACUGUCGAGCUAGAGUAUGGUAGAGGGUGGUGGAAUUUCCUGUGUAGCGGUGAAAUGCGUAGAUAUAGGAAGGAACACCAGUGGCGAAGGCGACCACCUGGACUGAUACUGACACUGAGGUGCGAAAGCGUGGGGAGCAAACAGG